AGGGUUUAAAGUUGAUGUUUUAAGUUUAGAUUUAGGGUUUAGUGUUUACGUUUAGGGUUUAGAGUUGAUGUUUUAGGGUUUAGAUUUGAAGUUUUAGGGUUUAGGGUUUAGGGUUUAGAGUUGAUGUUUCGGGGUUUAGGGUUUAGAGUUGAUAUUUCAUGGUUUAGGGUUUAGAGUUGAUGAUGUAGGGUUUAGAGUUGAUAUUUUAAGCUUAGAUUAGUUAACUUUAUGUUUUUUUUGUCAAAAUUAAUCAAAAGGUUAUAAAUGUC
rnacentral:lncRNA from 1 species